GAUGAACGCUAGCUACAGGCUUAACACAUGCAAGUCGAGGGGAAACGAUAUUGGAAGCUUGCUUCCGAUAGGCGUCGACCGGCGCACGGGUGAGUAACGCGUAUCCAACCUGCCCACCACCUGGGGAUAACCUUGCGAAAGUAAGACUAAUACCCAAUGACGUCUCCAGAAGACAUCUGACAGAGAUUAAAGAUUUAUCGGUGAAGGAUGGGGAUGCGUCUGAUUAGCUUGUUGGCGGGGUAACGGCCCACCAAGGCUACGAUCAGUAGGGGUUCUGAGAGGAAGGUCCCCCACAUUGGAACUGAGACACGGUCCAAACUCCUACGGGAGGCAGCAGUGAGGAAUAUUGGUCAAUGGGCGAGAGCCUGAACCAGCCAAGUAGCGUGCAGGAUGACGGCCCUAUGGGUUGUAAACUGCUUUUAUAAGGGAAUAAAGUGAGUCUCGUGAGACUUUUUGCAUGUACCUUAUGAAUAAGGACCGGCUAAUUCCGUGCCAGCCGCCGCGGUAA
rnacentral:rRNA from 1 species